rnacentral:lncRNA from 1 species
AGUUCCUAUCAAUGUCUAAAAUAUCGAUGAUAUCGAAAAUAUCGGUAGUCCAAAAACGCAAAAACUUCGAUAAAAAUAUUAAGAUAAUAUCAAUAUUUUAGACUUUAAUUAUGAUUCAAUAUAUGUUUACUGAAUCUGCUGCAGCAACUCAAAUACCCAUCUCAUGAGCACCAGUUACUGCCCCCUCAGUCGACAGGUGUCCCGGCAAAGCGUGCUGUUUGUGACAAGAUAUGGACAACAAAUAUCUCAAAACCAUGCAUGCUAUGCAGUCGUAGUGAUUUUUGCAAGUCUCAAAAAAGUUGCUUCAGCCCAGACAACUUGCGGAAGUUUGGGACCAAAGCCAACUAUAACGCAGCACACCAACCACAACUCUGAGAGAGCCUUAUCUUCCGGCACUUACAGUACGAACCAUCUCCAUUAAUGACUUCAUGCUUCACGAAAACAAUCAGCCAUUGGCCAACAAAACAGCUUUUCGUAUCAUCAGCUUAACUGAAAAGCGAAAGUGAAAAAUAUGAGUCAAAUCAGAAUUAUGAGACAAGUACUAUCUUUGUUAAGCAUAGUUAGCGUCUGUUUAGCACGGGUCAUGCUUAGGCAACUAGGGCAGGAAUCUUCUCUAAUGUUCAAACUAGGCACUGCAAUGAUUGUCCAUGUUUAAGAUGGUUUAGCACUGAAAGAUUCUACUCUAUCUCCAAGGAUAUGUUUUUAUGUGCAUGUCUAACUGACCACGUUUCUUUUUAACACCAACUAUUGUUCAGUUACAACUGUAUUUAAAAUUGUGAUAUUUUAAAUCAUGACAUGUAGAUAUAUUUCAGAUGGAUGAAUUCAAAUAUUUUAUCCUACUACCGAAGAUAUAUCUCUAUGUAAGUGCUUCAGUCAUCAUACUUCUCAUAGCACCAACUAUUGUCAUAAUUGUACCCAAAAUCAUGACACUUGAUAUAUUUUAAAAUAGAUUUAGCACGGAAAUAAUCUAUCCUACCACCAAGGAUAUAUAUCUCCAUGUAAGUGCCUCGAUCUUUAUAUUUUACAUAAGCAUUAGCUAUUGUCAAGCCAUAACUGUAACCAUAAUCAUGACAUACAUUAAAAUGGAUUUAGCACCUAAAUAAUCUACCCUACCACUGAGGAUAAUGCCUCUGUCAUCACUUCUCAUAAGCACCAGAUAUUGUCAACCCGUAACUGUAACCAUAAUCAUGACGCUUGAAUUAUUUGUAUGUUUAUGCCAUAUGAACUGCCAGGACAAAGAAUAUAUAUGUAUAUACAUAGUUGCGCCAAAAGUGGAAAGAUGUGAUCAUGUGAAUUUGCCUUUAAAAUACCAAUAAAGAAGCAAACUCCACCAAAUUCAAAGGCAGCGGAGAGCCAACUUCAACAAGCUAGCAUGGAUGUAGAGAAUGUCUUCCAUAUGACUGGAGGAGUUGGCCUUACUAGCUAUGCCAGAAAUUCUUCACUCCAGGUUCUCUCCCUAACUCUCUCUCUCUCUCUCUCUCUCUCUCUCUCUCUCUCUCUCUCUCUCUCUAUAUAUAUAUAUUCUUAAUUUUGUCAUUUAAUUGAUGUUAGAAGUGUUAUAUAUAUAUGUGUGUGUUCACGAUGUUUUUUCCUAAUUAUAUUUUUCUUUCUAAUUCUGAUCAACAGAAGAAGGCACUGAUAUGUAAAAAUUAUUUAAGAGGCAAUUACAAAAAAUUAC